rnacentral:rRNA from 1 species
GACGAACGCUGGCGGCGUGCUUAACACAUGCAAGUCGAACGGAGUGGCGAACGGGUGAGUAACACGUGGGUGAUCUGCCUUGCACUUCGGGAUAAGCUUGGGAAACUGGGUCUAAUACCGGAUAGUGCAAGAUGAGCUCGCGGCCUAUCAGCUUGUUGGUGGGGUACUGGCCUACCAAGGCGUCGACGGGUAGCCGGCCUGAGAGGGUGUACGGCCACUUUGGGACUUCGGUACGGCCCAGGCUCCUACGGGAGGCAACAGUGGUGAAUAUUGCACAAUGGGCGGAAGCCUGAUGCAGCGACGCCGCGUGUGUGAUGAAGGCCUUCGAGUUGUAAACUCCUUUCGACAGGGACGCGGUACCUGUAUAAGAAGCACCGGCUAACUACGUGCCAGCAGCCGCGGUAAUUC